UAAAAGUGUCAAAAGCGCGUAAAUAAAAAAUACGUAUCAAAAUUUAAAUAUUCACAUUAUAGUUCUUGUAUUUUAAGUAAAUAAACAUAUAUACACAAAUGCAUAGACAAAUAACAAUAGCUAAAGUGACAGUAAUGUUAAUUAAACCUACAUUCUAACGAUAAAUGGAAAAUGCCUGGCACAAAUUUGGCUGUGUAAAAAGGAUGGAUCAAUCAAAGCAAAGACACUCAUCUGAUGUUAGUUCGGAUCAGUAGAUACUAAACUAUUUAUUCAAUUGUCUCUCAAGAGCUUUGAAAACUACGUGAUGAGCAGGCUUAAACAUUUGUAUUGAACGUGCCUGGCCUCAAAGUGCUGAAUAUAUCGACGAACAAACGAAGAAACAACCAAAAAACGAGAAAACACAAAACAAAAAUCAAAACACAUAAAACAAACAACAAAUAAGUGAAUUCCGACUAAAGCAAAGAGAGUGAAGUAAAGUGACCAAAGAGGAACCUGGAAAAAUUGAUCCGAAAUCAAGAAAAGAACAAGCAAUAGUAGAAAUAGUAGGGAUAGAAGUUGGGGGAUCAACUGAUCCUGUCUGCAUAUUGAAUUACACAACAAGAAGAGGACAGAGGCAGGCAAAUGAUGAUGGCUCGACGUUUAGUUUUUAGCUACCUGCACAAACAGAGGUUCUUAAAAAAAAAGAAGAAACUUAGCUCGUUAAGAGGACAGGCGCCUGCCCACUAAUUGGUUUUGAUUCAGCUUCUAUUGCAGCACAUUUGUCGGCUAAAACCAAGACGUAAAACGACGAGAGAUCGGCCAAAACCCACACCUAAAGGGAAGAAAGAGACAACUAGCGUCUCUAAACGGUACAAGUAAGAGGAAGAUGAGCCUACGAGAUGCAUUGCUUAUGAAGUGUUUGAAUUUAUAAGACGAUCUAGUAGUGUAAAAGAGACAGAAUUAUAUAAUUUCUAGGCGUCUAAUACAAAAUAAAAAUGCUUAAGUCAAACA